rnacentral:tRNA from 1 species
CAAACCGGGUUGCCCUGACACCAACUAGCUAGCCCUACCCCAAAAACAACUAACCACUAUUAAUAACCCCAAAC